AAUCAACGCUGGCGGCGUGCCUAACACAUGCAAGUCGAACGCGAAAGCCCCGCAAGGGGUAAGUAGAGUGGCAAACGGGUGAGUAACACGUGGGUGACCUGCCUUCGAGUGGGGGAUAACGUCCCGAAAGGGACGCUAAUACCGCAUGACAUCCUGCUGUUGAAAAAGCGGAGAUCAAAGCUGGGGAUCGCAAGACCUAGCGCUUGAAGAGGGGCCCGCGCCUGAUUAGCUAGUUGUUGAGGUAACGGCUCACCAAGGCGACGAUCAGUAUCCGGCCGGAGAGGGCGGACGGCCACCCUGGGACUGGGACACGGCCCAGACUCCUACGGGAGGCAGCAGUGGGGAAUUGUUCGCAAUGGGCGCAAGCCUGACGACGCAACGCCGCGUGGAGGACGAAGAUCUUCGGGUCGUAAACUCCUGUCGAGCGGGACGAACGCUUCGCGGAUGAAUAAUCCGCGGAAUUGACGGUACCGCUAAAGGAAGCCCCGGCUAACUCCGUG
rnacentral:rRNA from 1 species